rnacentral:rRNA from 1 species
UACGUAGGGCGCAAGCGUUGUCCGGAAUUAUUGGGCGUAAAGAGCUCGUAGGUGGUUUGUCGCGUUGUUCGUGAAAACUCACAGCUCAACUGUGGGCGUGCGGGCGAUACGGGCAGACUAGAGUACUGCAGGGGAGACUGGAAUUCCUGGUGUAGCGGUGAAAUGCGCAGAUAUCAGGAGGAACACCGGUGGCGAAGGCGGUUCUCUGGGCAUGUCCUGACGCUGAGGAGCGAAAGUGUGGGGAGCGAACAGG